rnacentral:rRNA from 1 species
GCGGCUAAUUGAGUCGGAUGUGAAAUCCCCGAGCUUAACUUGGGAAUUGCAUUCGAUACUGGUUAGCUAGAGUGUGGGAGAGGAUGGUAGAAUUCCAGGUGUAGCGGUGAAAUGCGUAGAGAUCUGGAGGAAUACCGAUGGCGAAGGCAGCCAUCUGGCCUAACACUGACGCUGAGGUACGAAAGCAUGGGGAGCAAACAGGAUUAGAUACCCUGGUAGUCCAUGCCGUAAACGAUGUCUACUAGCCGUUGGUCUCUUUGAGGGAUUAGUGGCGCAGCUAACGCGAUAAGUAGACCGCCUGGGGAGUACGGUCGCAAGACUAAAACUCAAAUGAAUUGACGGGGGCCCGCACAAGCGGUGGAGCAUGUGGUUUAAUUCGAUGCAACGCGAAGAACCUUACCUGGUCUUGACAUAGUAAGAACUUUCUAGAGAUGGAUUGGUGCCUUCGGGAACUUACAUACAGGUGCUGCAUGGCUGUCGUCAGCUCGUGUCGUGAGAUGUUGGGUUAAGUCCCGCAACGAGCGCAACCCUUUUCCUUAUUUGCCAGCACUUUGGGUGGGAACUUUAAGGAUACUGCCAGUGACAAACUGGAGGAAGGCGGGGACGACGUCAAGUCAUCAUGGCCCUUACGACCAGGGCUACACACGUGCUACAAUGGUCGGUACAAAGGGUUGCUACCUAGCGAUAGGAUGCUAAUCUCAAAAAGCCGAUCGUAGUCCGGAUUGGAGUCUGCAACUCGACUCCAUGAAGUC